UUCCCCCAGCGUCAACGCAUCUAUGAUUAAGCAAGUCAGAUGUGCCACUGCACCCAACAAAAACAAGAGUUCCGGGAGUUAUCCUUUCCCGGAAUCCAGAGCCAGGCAAUGGAGGAAAAGCAUUCGGGGGCUGCUCCAAAGGAAUGGGUUUAAUCCAGAUUUAAGUGAGAACAGAGAGGGAAUGGACGGGCUGAGGAAAGAUUGCACUGCGUGUGCAGAGAGGAUCUAGAUCCGGCAAUGCAGCACACCUGGCUGCUUCAAAGUUCAUGCAUUGGAAAAAAAAGAAAGGUUGAAGCAACCGAUGUGGGUAAUUUCAGAAUGAGCCACCGCGAUGUGGCUUCCCUCACGGGGAAAGAAGUUCAGCCUCAAGAGCAAAGCUGCGCCCAGCAGCACUUCAAACCUCCAUUUGGGACAGCAGGAAGCGAUGGAAGGCAGCACGUUGGUCACCAAACCUCCAUAAGGCCGUGCUGGGCCCUCACAGCCACCUGCCCCACAGCUUUCUGGCCACACACAACACCUCAGUGAGACAAGGGAUGCAAGUCAUGGGGGGACACGCAUACCCCACACAGCCCUAAAUGGGGUCUCAGCCAUACGCUGUGAGGGGAUGCGAUGGCCACCAGCCCCCAGUCACCACCAGCCCGAAGCCUUCUACAGGUGCCAAGCGCAGCUCCUCUGCCCUCACGGCACAGAGCGCGCAGCCCCGCGCAGGAGGGACGGACGGACCGACGAGGACGGUGACCCCGCAGCCUCCCGAGGCACGGGACGCCCACCCG